GCGGAGGGAUCAUUAAAGAGUUCUAUAACUCCCAAACCCAUGUGAACAUACCUAACGUUGCCUCGGCAGGUCGCACCUACCUUGUAGCACCCUACCCUGUAGGGCCUACCCGGGAGGUGCGGGUAAGCCUGCCGGCGGCCCACCAAACUCUGUUUGAUAUUGAAUUCUGAACCUAUAACUAAAUAAGUUAAAACUUUCAACAACGGAUCUCUUGGUUCUGGCAUCGAUGAAGAACGCAGCGAAAUGCGAUAAGUAAUGUGAAUUGCAGAAUUCAGUGAAUCAUCGAAUCUUUGAACGCAUAUUGCGCCCAUUAGUAUUCUAGUGGGCAGGACCGUUCGAGCGUCAUUUCAACCCUUAAGCCUUCGUUGCUUAGUGUUGGGAGCCUACGGCAACGUAGCUCCUCAAAGUUAGUGGCGGAGUUAGUUCACACUCUAGACGUAGUAAUUUUUUAUCUCGCCUAUUAGUUGGACUAAUCCCCUGCCGUAAAACCCCCAAUUUAUCAAGGUUGACCUCGAAUCGGUUCAGACAAACUCGCUAAAUUGAAGCAUCUUAGUCAGCGAAGGAAAAGAAACCAACAGGGAUUGCCCUAGUAACGGCGAGUGAAGCGGCAACAGCUCAAAUUUGAAAUCUGGCCCUCGGGUCCGAGUUGUAAUUUGUAGAGGAUGCUUUUGGCGCGGUGCCUUCCGAGUUCCCUGGAACGGGACGCCUUAGAGGGUGAGAGCCCCGUACGGUUGGACACCAAGCCUCUGUAAAGCUCCUUCGACGAGUCGAGUAGCUUGGGAAUGCUGCUCUAAAUGGGAGGUAAAUUUCUUCUAAAGCUAAAUAUUG
rnacentral:rRNA from 1 species